AUUGAACGCUGGCGGCAGGCCUAAAACAUGCAAGUCGAGCGGAUGAGGAGAGCUUGCCCUCUGAUUUAGCGGCGGACGGGUGAGUAAUGACUAGCAAUCUGCCUGGGAGUGGGGGAUAACGUUGCGACAGGAACGCUAAUACCGCAUACGUCCUACGGGCGAAAGCAGGGGACCUUCGGACCUUGCGCUAUCAGAUGAGCCUAGGUCGGAUUAGCUAGUUGGUGAGGUAAAGGCUCACCAAGGCGACGAUCCGUAACUGGUCUGAGAGGAUGAUCAGUCACACUGGAACUGAGACACGGUCCAGACUCCUACGGGAGGCAGCAGUGGGGAAUAUUGGACAAUGGGCGAAAGCCUGAUCCAGCCAUGCCGCGUUUGUGAAGAAGGUCUUCGGAUUGUAAAGCACUUUAAGUUGGGAGGAAGGGUUGUAGAUUAAUACUCUGCAAUUUUGACGUUACCAACAGAAUAAGCACCGGCUAACUUCGUGCCAGCCGCCGCCGUAAAAC
rnacentral:rRNA from 1 species